rnacentral:rRNA from 1 species
ACAUACGACCAUAGACUCAAGAGAAUUGGGCAUCCCGUCCGCUCUGCCAUACACAAGCUUGAGAUCGGUGGAUUAGUAGUUGGGUGGGUGACCAUAGUUGGGUGGGUGAGCUUGAGAUCGGUGGAUUAGUAGUUGGGUGGGUGACCACCAGCGAAUACCCACUGUUGUAUGUU